rnacentral:lncRNA from 1 species
AAACUCAAUUGAACUCCAAACAUACAGAGCUUGAUUGGACUUUAUCAUAUAUUUAAGUCCAAUUUGAACCCGAUCGAAUCCCAAUUCACAUUAGGGUUAUAUACACCCUGGUUCAGAAUCAAACUCAAUCCACUGAACUUCGUUCAUCUUUUAUUCAAUCUUCAGCAUUUCAAAGGUCUCUCAAUCGAAGGUGCCCUAACACUUUGUAGGGGUAAUUAACAAUAAAUGCUUGCGUUUAUUGGAAGCCAUGGAUCCGCAAUACCUGAUAACCAUACAUACACAUAUUUUAAUCUACAUCAUGAAUACUACCCCACGGGAGAACCAAAAGAUAAAAAUUCCCCGUGCGAGGUAUGUC